GGCCUGGUGGUGGAACGGUUAAUACGCCUGCUUCAUGUUUCUACUCCGUACAGUUUAAGCAGGAGACCCUUGUUCGAAUCAAGGUCGGGCCG